AGGGAAUUUUCGUCAAUGGGGGGAACCCUGAACGAGCAAUGCCGCGUGAGUGAGGAAGGUCUUCGGAUCGUAAAGCUCUGUUGUAAGAGAAAAACGGCACUCAUAGGGAAUGAUGAGUGAGUGAUGGUAUCUUACCAGAAAGUCACGGCUAACUACGUGCCAGCAGCCGCGGUAAUACGUAGGUGGCGAGCGUUAUCCGGAAUGAUUGGGCGUAAAGGGUGCGUAGGUGGCAGAUCAAGUCUGGAGUAAAAGGUAUGGGCUCAACCCGUACUUGCUCUGGAAACUGAUCAGCUAGAGAACAGAAGAGGACGGCGGAACUCCAUGUGUAGCGGUAAAAUGCGUAGAUAUAUGGAAGAACACCGGUGGCGAAGGCGGCCGUCUGGUCUGGAUUCUGACACUGAAGCACGAAAGCGUGGGGAGCAAAUAGGAUUAGAUACCCUAAUAGUCCACGCCGUAAACGAUGAGAACUAGGUGUUGGGGGAAUAACUCAGUGCCGCAGUUAACGCAAUAAGUUCUCCGCCUGGGGAGUAUGCACGCAAGUGUGAAACUCAAAGGAAUUGACGGGGGCCCGCACAAGCGGUGGAGUAUGUGGUUUAAUUCGAAGCAACGCGAAGAACCUUACCAGGCCUUGACAUCCCUUGCAGAGGUAUAGAGAUAUAUCCGAGGUUAUCAAGGAGACAGGUGGUGCAUGGUUGUCGUCAGCUCGUGUCGUGAGAUGUUGGGUUAAGUCCCGCAACGAGCGCAACCCUUGUGAUAUGUUACUAACAUUGAGUUGAGGACUCAUAUCAGACUGCCGGUGAUAAACCGGAGGAAGGUGGGGAUGACGUCAAAUCAUCAUGCCCCUUAUGGCCUGGGCUACACACGUACUACAAUGGCGUCUACAAAGAGCGGCAAGCCUGUGAAGGCAAGCGAAUCUCAUAAAGGACGUCUCAGUUCGGAUUGAAGUCUGCAACCCGACUUCAUGAAGCUGGAAUCGCUAGUAAUCGCGAAUCAGCAUGUCGCGGUGAAUACGUUCUCG
rnacentral:rRNA from 1 species